GAUGAACGCUAACUACCGGCUUAACGCAUGCAAGUCGAGGGGCAGCAUGGCCUUAUCUUGCUAAGGCCGAUGGCGACCGGCGCACGGGUGAGUAACACUUAUCCAAACUGCCGUCUACUCUUGGACAGCCUUCUGAAAGGAAGAUUAAUACAAGAUGGCAUCAUGAGUCCGCAUGUUCACAUGAUUAAAGGUAUUCCGGUAGACGAUGGGGAUGCGUUCCAUUAGAUAGUAAGCGGGGUAACGGCCCACCUAGUCUUCGAUGGAUAGGGGUUCUGAGAGGAAGGUCCCCCACAUUGGAACUGAGACACGGUCCAAACUCCUACGGGAGGCAGCAGUGAGGAAUAUUGGUCAAUGGGCGCAGGCCUGAACCAGCCAAGUAGCGUGAAGGAUGACUGCCCUAUGGGUUGUAAACUUCUUUUAUAAAGGAAUAAAGUCGGGUAUGUAUACCCGUUUGCAUGUACUUUAUGAAUAAGGAUCGGCUAACUCCGUGCCAGCAGCCGCGGUAAUACGGAGGAUCCGAGCGUUAUCCGGAUUUAUUGGGUUUAAAGGGAGCGUAGAUGGAUGUUUAAGUCAGUUGUGAAAGUUUGCGGCUCAACCGUAAAAUUGCAGUUGAUACUGGAUAUCUUGAGUGCAGUUGAGGCAGGCGGAAUUCGUGGUGUAGCGGUGAAAUGCUUAGAUAUCACGAAGAACUCCGAUUGCGAAGGCAGCCUGCUAAGCUGCAACUGACAUUGAGGCUCGAAAGUGUGGGUAUCAAACAGGAUUAGAUCCCCUGGUAGUCCACACGGUACACCUAAAGAGUCGCUGUUCGCGAUAUACAGCAAGCGGCCAAGCGAAAGCGUUAAGUAUUCCUCCUGGGGAGUACGCGCGCGGACGGUGAAACUCCAAGAAAUAGACGGGGGACCGCACAAGCGGAGGAACAUGUGGUUUAAUUCGAUGAUACGCGAGGAACCUCACCCGGGCCUGAAAUCCAGAUGAAUUACGGUGAAAGCCGUAAGCCGCAAGCCAUCUGCGAAGGUGCUCGCAUGGUUGUCGUCAGCUCGUGCCGUGAGGUGUUGGCUUAAAUGCCAUAACGAGCGCAACCCUCGUCGUCAGUUAAUAACAGGUUACGCGGAGGGCUCUGACACGACUGCCAUCGUAAGAUGUGAGGAAGGUGGGGAGGAGGUCAAAUCAGCACGGCCCUUACGUCCGGGGCUACACACGUGUUACAAUGGGGGGUACAGAGGGCCGCUACCCCGCGAGUGGAUGCCAAUCCCAAAAACCUCUCUCCGUUCGGACGGGAGUCUGCAACCCCACUCCCCGAAGAAGGACUCGCUAGUAAUCGCGCAUCAGCCAC
rnacentral:rRNA from 1 species